rnacentral:rRNA from 1 species
UACGUAGGGCGCAAGCGUUGUCCGGAAUUAUUGGGCGUAAAGAGCUCGUAGGCGGCUUGUCACGUCUGCUGUGAAAUCCCGGGGCUCAACCCCGGGCGUGCAGUGGAUACGGGCUGGCUAGAGGCAGGCAGGGGAGAACGGAAUUCCCGGUGUAGCGGUGGAAUGCGUAGAGAUCGGGAAGAACAUCGGUGGCGAAGGCGGCUAGCUGGGCUCUUGCUGACGCUGAUGCGCGACAGCGUGGGGAGCAAACAGG